UUUUGCAUUUCUUAUUCGUGUUAGCCGAUUGCAGAAAAGGUAGAGGUCCUUGAAAAGGCACAAAAUUAUAACUGAUGUUAUUUUAAUUCGAUAUUAUAAAGAAAAAACAUACAUCAUUCUGUUUAGAACUAAAAAGCUACAGUACUGCCUCCUUAAAAGUCUGGGCAGCUUUGGCAAGCUACUCACUAGUAAUCAGAGGAAAGCAAGAAAGCACACACAGAGUUCUCAAUUUAUUCCUGACUCUCACAGCUGCACUUGAAGAUUAUCACACAAGAUGCACCAAGUGAGUUUAUGCAAGAAUUCAAGAAGUAAAGAGGGCUCAGACAAAAGGAGGAAAGGCAAGCUCUCCUUCAUGGACUGUCACAUUAAAAUAGAGUUCUGAGCCAUUCCUGCUGGAGUUUGCGACUGUGACCCCACCCUGGGUGCAGCCAGUGCUUCAGCUGCAGAGCCCACCUGUGUAAGCACACUCAGGCAGCUGCAGACAGCUGCCUUCCCUCAGCUGAUAACCAAAUCUCUCAGCUCAGCCUCCUCCAAAAGAAACACAGAAAAUGCAACCUCCCCCUGGCACUGCCUGCACACACGGGAGAGGGGGGCAGACCCUCCACAGAGCUCCAGGCCAUUAUCUUUAUUUCACCAGAGUGAACCUACCUGGACCUGGCCAGUCUCAUCCUUGAGCCUACCACCACACAACUGGCUCUGCCACUGCUUCAAAGCAGUCCAAGAUCCAUGUGGAUCCUACCCUGCCUUCAGGAAGUUCCUGGAAUGAAGACUAAUCAUUUCAAUUUAACAAAGAACUUGUGAGUAAAUAGUUACUGGAAGAUUUUUCAGGAUUUAUAGGAGCAACAAGUCCUCUACAAGAGUUAGAUUAGAAGGAAGAGGAGACCAUCCACAGUGCAGCAGCAGGAAAAUAUAACUGGGAUCCCUGUUAUAUCCCUAGCCUAAUAUUUAAGUCUGUUACUUUGCAAUCAGAAAUCGAUGACUGCAGUUAUAAGUGCUGUCCUGGGCCUGCAUAUUGCAUAAAGUUGUC
rnacentral:lncRNA from 12 species